rnacentral:lncRNA from 1 species
UUGCGCGCUGCGAGCUCUCCUUUAUUUAGAUAAGGUGUCCGCGGCCGCUGCUCUUGGCCGCCAGCCAGCUUUCUGUCUCCCACUUGGGGCUUUAGCGCCACACAGGAGACGCGACUCUCUGAUGCUGCCGGCCCGAGUGUCAGCCUCACCCGGAGGGUCCCCGCGGCUUUGUGUUCCCAGAAAGAUGAUUUGUUUGACAACGGGCUUUCCUUCCAGACUGUUCUUCCAGCCUGGCACAACGCGUGGGUCCUCAGACACAGACGGGGCCGUAGAGAGGCGGAGCCGGCACCUUUGGCCACAGGGUCGGGCGGCUGCUUGAUGGUGAAAGGCCACGUAAAGGAGACCCAGACACGGUCGAAGGCCAGAAGGAUCUUUGGUUUACAUGGACUAACUGAAGCGUUUAUGCUCCUCAGGCCUGAAAAAGUUAAGUGCUGGGGAGGCGGGGGGGCGCGAAGCAGGAUGAGAAGCCUGGACUUAUUCUAUGGCACACAAAAGAUUUUUAAUAAGCUCGGAGAAAGGGCUGCCACCCCCACCCCUCACGUCUUUCUCUCCCUGUCUUAUUCCAAAGCUCCUGUGUUAGCCAGAGAGACAGCUCGGAAAAACUGCCCCGGGAGGUGGGCAGCAGGCUGUGGGAGAGCUAUUCUGCUAGGCUGGCCCCCCAGGCAGGCAGGCAACUUCCACGAGGUCAAGAAAGGCUCCCCUGCAAAUAAACCAUGAGAUGAACCUUGAACCCACCUUCCUGGAUAACAGAUUUCAAAGAUGUAUGUCGUGCAGAUAAGAAGUACAGAAAGUAGUUGUUCUUCAGAAGCCACGAUUGCCUGUCACUUCCAAAAUAACUGUUUUCGCGUCUCUGGUGAGUUGUUUGGGAGACCUGACACAAGACUAAACUGAACCCAUUCUUUGUGGAGAAUCUCUUGAGCGGCUUCCUCUGGUUUUCCCUGUCUCACCUUUGAGUCCCAAACCAGUGGACUAACAAUAAAAUGCUAAUUCAUCUAAUACA